UACGUAGGGGGCGAGCGUUGUCCGGAUUCAUUGGGCGUAAAGAGCUCGUAGGCGGCUUGGCAAGUCGGGUGUGAAAACUUCAGGCUCAACCUGGAGCGGCCACUCGAUACUGCCAUGGCUUGAGUCCGGUAGGGGACCACGGAAUUCCUGGUGUAGCGGUGAAAUGCGCAGAUAUCGGGAGGAACACCGGUGGCGAAGGCGGUUCUCUGGGCCUUACCUGACGCUGAGGAGCGAAAGCGUGGGGAGCGAACAGG
rnacentral:rRNA from 1 species